UACGUAGGAUGCAAGCGUUGUCCGGAUUUAUUGGGCGUAAAGCGUUCGUAGGUGGUUUGUUAAGUUUGGUGUUAAAGAUUGGGGCUCAACCCUGAAACUGCACUGAAUACUGGCAGACUCGAGUGUGGUAGAGGCUAGUGGAAUUCCCAGUGUAGCGGUGAAAUGCGUAGAGAUAGGGAGGAACACCGGUGGCGUAGGCGACUAGCUGGGCCAUAACUGACGCUGAGGAGCGAAAGCGAGGGGAGCGAAUGGG
rnacentral:rRNA from 1 species